ACUUUCCCAUGCUAGAGCCCUCAUCAAAUGCUCUAGCUGGGUCAACAUUACAUACAACAAGCCUGGUUCUCAACUCAACAUAAAAACAUUACAUAACCAUGCAUCAACAGGGAUUAACCAGUCUAUAGGGCCAAGCACACUCUAAUCCAUAAACAUAAACUCUACUAUCAGUUACAUACAUUAUCUCAAAUUACAUUACAUCAACUUAUAUUACAUGUCCACUUCUAGAACUACUAGACUGCAACAUAAACUAUUACAUAUACAUACGACUUGACUUUACCCUGCUGCCUCUGAACUCUGACUUAAACCUGCAAACACUGGGGUUAGGGGAGAGGGGUGAGCUAAAAAGCCCAGUGAGUAGAAACAUAGAAAACAGUUCAUUAAUUACAUGCUUUCAUGAAAUGCGUCAUAUCACAGAGAAAUCACAUAACUGGGUCCGUCUCGGGGUUCAUGCAAAUAAAUAUUCCCCACGGACUGUUUUUGAGAGUUUCUUCCUUUGCUAGCAUCCUUUACUCUCAAGGAUCAGACAUGACCUCAAAAAUCCCUCUGUCGGUGCCCGGCUCCCCCAAAGGAGCUCACACAGGACUUUCACAUACAUGACAGGGUGCCUAGUCCACAGAGAGCUCACAAGGACUUUCCUAUAUGUACUUGUCCGGCUCUCAAAAGACUCACCCAAGACUCAAUGACAGAUAUGGGCUAUUGAAGUCGCCUUGGUCCGAAC
rnacentral:lncRNA from 1 species